CCUACGGGCGGCAGCAGUGAGGAAUAUUGGUCAAUGGUCGGGAGACUGAACCAGCCAAGCCGCGUGAGGGAAGAAGGUACAGCGUAUCGUAAACCUCUUUUGUCAGGGAACAAAGGCGGGGACUCGUCCCCGGAUGAGGGUACCUGAAGAAAAAGCAUCGGCUAACUCCGUGCCAGCAGCCGCGGUAAUACGGAGGAUGCGAGCGUUAUCCGGAUUUAUUGGGUUUAAAGGGUGCGCAGGCGGUCUGUUAAGUCAGCGGUCAAAGCCCGGGGCUCAACCCCGGCCAGCCGUUGAAACUGGCAGGCUGGAGUUGGAGAGAAGUACGCGGAAUGCGCGGUGUAGCGGUGAAAUGCUUAGAUAUCGCGCAGAACCCCGAUUGCGAAGGCAGCAUGCCGGCUCCACACUGACGCUGAGGCACGAAAGCGUGGGUAUCGAACAGGAUUAGAUACCCGGGUAGUC
rnacentral:rRNA from 1 species